rnacentral:pre_miRNA from 1 species
UCUUAUGGAAAAGAAAAGAAAGUGGUUUCUUGAAAUGGAAUCUACUCCUAGUGAAGAUACUGUGAA